rnacentral:rRNA from 1 species
UACGUAGGGUCCGAGCGUUGUUCGGAAUUACUGGGCGUAAAGCGCACGUAGGUGGCUUUGUAAGUUAGAGGUGAAAGCCCGGGGCUCAACUCCGGAAUUGCCUUUAAGACUGCAUCGCUAGAACGUCGGAGAGGUAAGUGGAAUUCCGAGUGUAGAGGUGAAAUUCGUAGAUAUUCGGAAGAACACCAGUGGCGAAGGCGACUUACUGGACGACUGUUGACACUGAGGUGCGAAAGCGUGGGGAGCAAACAGG